rnacentral:lncRNA from 1 species
AAAUAAGGUAAUUAAAAUUAUAAAAUUAAAUUAAUGUACAUAUCCACUUGAACCCCACCCAUCCCACUACAAAAUCCUCAAAUCAUUUUUCUUGUCUUCUCUAUUUCUUCCCUUCUCUAUUACACCUUUUCUCUACACUCUCUUUCGAUGAAUCCUCUCCUUCUCUUUCAGUUGCUCAUUCCUAGCACCACUGCUCCUUCUUUUCCAGCAGCUUUGCACAGCACAAACGUUGCGUGCUGGGCAUCGCUGUAAGAUGCGUAGCUGUGUGCGGUGGUUUCUGAUCUGAUCUACUGGGGAUGAUGUGGGUUGUUUACGCUGUGGUUAUUUGUGGUUUUUUGGUGGUCGAUUCUCACUCUCUUUCUUCUUUUUAUCUUUUCUCUCUCAUUCUCUGUACCUAUAGACUCUCUACUAUAUCUUUUCGGCACCAUUGCGUACGGCAGAGAAGAACCGAAGUUCACAGUGGCGAAUCCUUAUGUGCAGAGGAUCAACACGGGGAGGUUGUUGCUGCGAGCAGUAGUGCUUUGCUUCUACUCUGAUGCUCGCGAUCGGGGAUGCACUAUUUGAUUUACUUUUUGAAAAUGGUAAGGGUUUUGCAAUAUGAGAAUACUUAUCACUAGGGAUGUCAAAUGAGCCGAGCAGCUUAUCGGCUUGGUCGCUUAGCUCGUUAAAACUCGGCUGGGGGUAGUUCGGGCUCGUCAUUUGACGAACUCGAGCCCGAGCCGAGCAGGGGCUCAAUCCCACGAGCCGAGCUCGUAAAAAAAUGUGCAAAUUUAAAAAAAAAUUGCCAUUGCCAUCCCUACUUUCCGCCUCCAUGGUUUGGAAGGGUGGAUAUUGGUUUUUCUUUUUUCUUCUUUGACGAUGGUUAGAGAUGAUUGUUGAUGUUUUAUUUGAUCUAUUGUAGUUGGUGGUGGUGUAAACUGUGAUGGUUAUAUUGCUGGUGGUGCAUGUGGUCAUGGUAAGGUGUUGCGCAUUUGGUUUUUAACAGUGUUGGGAGUGGUGGUGGAGCCGGCAAUUGAUUGUGACUCUUUGUGACCAAAUUCGUGUAUAACUGUGAGUGAAUGUGAUUUGAUUAUAUGCAGUCACAAAUUAGACAGACGUGGUCAUGGACAGUCACAUCGAAGACAAAGUUGAUCACCGUUAGUCACUGAUAACAUAGGCUAGUGAAAGUAGUACUUAUGGUUGUGAAUUUGAGUUAAAUGUGGUGGUGAUUGGCGGUGGAUUGUGAUACUGGUAUGUGGUGUUUGUAGAUUUGUUUGUGGUGAUCCCUAUGUAACCAAGUAUGUGUUUAUUAAGACCGGUUGUAGACACUUUUGUUAAUUGUAAUUUGAUCACAUAUCAUCACAAUUAAAAUUGACAUGGUCACAGACUGUCACAUUGAAGACAAAUUUGGUCACAAAUAAUCAC